rnacentral:rRNA from 1 species
GGCCUACGGGGCGCAGCAGUGGGGAAUAGUGCACAAUGGGGGAAACCCUGAUGCAGCGACGCCGCGUGAAGGAAGAAGUAUUGCGGUAUGUAAACUUCUAGCAGCAGGGAAGAAAAUGACGGUACCUGACUAAGAAGCCCCGGCUAACUACGUGCCAGCAGCCGCGGUAAUACGUAGGGGGCAAGCGUUAUCCGGAUUUACUGGGUGUAAAGGGAGCGUAGGCGGUGCAGCAAGUCAGAAGUGAAAGCCCGGGGCUCAACUCCGGGACUGCUUUUGAAACUGUUGAACUAGAUUGCAGGCGAGGG